rnacentral:rRNA from 1 species
CCAAUAGCGUAUAUUAAAGUUGUUGCAGUUAAAAAGCUCGUAGUUGAAUUUCGAGAUCAGUACGCUGGUCGUGCCUUUGGUAUGCACUGGUGUCACUGGUUUCUCCCUUCUGAAGAACUGUCAUGCCAUUCAGUUGGUGUGGCGGGGAAUCAGGACUGUUACUUUGAAAAAAUUAGAGUGUUUAAAGCAGGCUUGCGCUUGAAUACAUUAGCAUGGAAUA